rnacentral:lncRNA from 1 species
CUGCAGGGUACUGGGUAGGGUAGGAGGACAGGCCACAAGUGAUGCCUGGUAUUUCUUCCACUGCCCCCAUGCUUAAGGCUGCAUUUCUGUCCGUGGUCCGUCCGGUAGUCUCCUACAUUACAGACAGCUGCUCCUGCUCAUCAGCCUUAGGUCUGUGCCCUCAUCUACUCCAUCCGUCCUCGAAGUCUGCAUCACCAGUCCCUCUACCCUGAUCUCUUCCAAGGAAUGAAAAAAGGGAAAGAUAGGGAAAUAGUAAUUAUAGUUGACGAAAACCUUUACGUUUUCUUAAAGUUGAAAGAGUUUGUUUUAUUCCGCUGAUCAUUGACAGAUAGUGGAUUUGAUCCCUCAACACAUCAAGCCAACUGGUGAGAGACUCAAUUUUCUGCCCCAGUGGAGAGAGAUAAACAGCUUUCUGUCUGGACUCUAGAAGAGAGACUCGACAUUGGGGGACAAACCCAGUCAUCUUUAGCCAGGACACUGAAAGAGACUAAGUUUGCUGCUUUACAUUGAGAGACACAACCUUCUGUGUCAAGACAAGACAAGGCGAGCAGUUUUCUGUCUAAACAGAGACACACAGCCUAGAAAGAGAGACCAAGACCUCUGGAUUUCACCCUCUCAGGGACAGCUUUUUGCCUUAAUACAGAAACGGAGAAAAAGGCACCAGCCUGGUCUAAGCAGCGGCAUCUCAGAACAGAAAGAACCACGCUGUCCUCUCCUAUCAGGUGUCCCAGAGUGUUUUCAAGGUAUUUUCCCCUUCCCUCUCCAUUCAUCAGCUGCCCUCAGUGUCACCAGCACAGAAAUAUAAUUACCAUAAGGGACAUUCCCAUUUAAGUCAAUGUUCUGUGUAGCCAUGAGCGUGAAAUUGCCGUGGUCUGAGGGGCUUUGUCCAUUCUAGUUUUCCUAUUUCUAUGGACUCCAGACAAGCACCAAGCACCGUAAAGCGAGCAUCAUUGUUCUCCUUUCCGAGGUAAACAUCAGAAGGAGCAGGGCGGAAGGUCAGAGGGAGCACCUUCUUCCUCCCUAAAGUACCCCCAGCUGCCAAGAUCCCAGUCAGGAUGGCGACCAAGACCCCUCAGACUGAAACGUAAAGGGAG